UUACUUAACUAUUCACAAGUGUAUGUCUUGAAAACAUAAAAUAGCAAUUAAUUUAAGCUAGUAAU
rnacentral:tRNA from 1 species